rnacentral:antisense_RNA from 1 species
GACCGACAUCAGCGAUUCGUUUUGCGAGCCGGCGCCCACCGCCAGGUAGGAGUGCAUGCCAAGCUCUUUCAUCUGCUGUUCGCCGAUAACCCGGGUGGUGAUAUUUUUAUUGAAGCUGUCGGCCAGCUGACGCGCCUGCGAGGCCAGGUAGGCUGCGUUACAGAUAUUCGGCGGCAUGUUGCCCAGAUCUUUUGC